rnacentral:rRNA from 1 species
GAUGAACGCUGGCGGCGUGCCUAAUACAUGCAAGUCGAGCGAACGGACGAGAAGCUUGCUUUUCUGAUGUUAGCGGCGGACGGGUGAGUAACACGUGGAUAACCUACCUAUAAGACUGGGGUAACUUCGGGAAACCGGAGCUAAUACCGGAUAAUAUUUUGAACCGCAUGGUUCAAAAGUGAAAGACGGUCUUGCUGUCACUUAUAGAUGGAUCCGCGCUGCAUUAGCUAGUUGGUAAGGUAACGGCUUACCAAGGCAACGAUGCAUAGCCGACCUGAGAGGGUGAUCGGCCACACUGGAACUGAGACACGGUCCAGACUCCUACGGGAGGCAGCAGUAGGGAAUCUUCCGCAAUGGGCGAAAGCCUGGCGGAGCAACGCCGCGUGAGUGAUGAAGGUCUUCGGAUCGUAAAACUCUGUUAUUAGGGAAGAACAUAUGUGUAAGUAACUGUGCACAUCUUGACGGUACCUAAUCAGAAAGCCACGGCUAACUACGUGCCAGCAGCCGCGGUAAUACGUAGGUGGCAAGCGUUAUCCGGAAUUAUUGGGCGUAAAGCGCGCGUAGGCGGUUUUUUAAGUCUGAUGUGAAAGCCCACGGCUCAACCGUGGAGGGUCAUUGGAAACUGGAAAACUUGAGUGCAGAAGAGGAAAGUGGAAUUCCAUGUGUAGCGGUGAAAUGCGCAGAGAUGUGGAGGAACACCAGUGGCGAAGGCGACUUUCUGGUCUGUAACUGACGCUGAUGUGCGAAAGCGUGGGGAUCAAACAGGAUUAGAUACCCUGGUAGUCCACGCCGUAAACGAUGAGUGCUAAGUGUUAGGGGGUUUCCGCCCCUUAGUGCUGCAGCUAACGCAUUAAGCACUCCGCCUGGGGAGUACGACCGCAAGGUUGAAACUCAAAGGAAUUGACGGGGGCCCGCACAAGCGGUGGAGCAUGUGGUUUAAUUCGAAGCAACGCGAAGAACCUUACCAAAUCUUGACAUCCUUUGACAACUCUAGAGAUAGAGCCUUCCCCUUCGGGGGACAAAGUGACAGGUGGUGCAUGGUUGUCGUCAGCUCGUGUCGUGAGAUGUUGGGUUAAGUCCCGCAACGAGCGCAACCCUUAAGCUUAGUUGCCAUCAUUAAGUUGGGCACUCUAAGUUGACUGCCGGUGACAAACCGGAGGAAGGUGGGGAUGACGUCAAAUCAUCAUGCCCCUUAUGAUUUGGGCUACACACGUGCUACAAUGGACAAUACAAAGGGCAGCGAAACCGCGAGGUCAAGCAAAUCCCAUAAAGUUGUUCUCAGUUCGGAUUGUAGUCUGCAACUCGACUACAUGAAGCUGGAAUCGCUAGUAAUCGUAGAUCAGCAUGCUACGGUGAAUACGUUCCCGGGUCU